UUCAAUAUGUAUUUUGCGUUCAAAAAAAUGAAAGAAAUGUGCAUUUGUUUGUUUGUUGGCAGAGGAUACAUUUUUAGUUAGUUAUUCCAGCCACUAGGUGGCGGUGUCACACGCCAAGAGUUGCGCGGUGCCUCUUGGUCGCUCUCUUUUUCCUUUCGGGCCGAUCAGGGAAACAGCACGGUGGAGAAUCCUGAGUACAUUGUGUGAAAUAAAAGGAUGAGAUUGACUUUGGAUGGAUGUCGAUGGAUUUUGUGUGUAGCUGCCGACGCCAGUGUUUCCAUGUGUUAGCGAGACAUCAGAGUGACAAGUGUGUGACGUUGUGCGCUCCCUGGUGAAGCCCGUUUUUCAGAGUCUGUAUUCUGGGAAAUGUAAGUGCUUUCUAAGUCAAACUGUACAUUUAAGAAUCAACUGGAGUUUAUUUUGAAGGUAUAUUAAUAUUGUUUUAUUUUUGUUUUCUGUCAGUGUCCUUAGCCACUGCCGUAUGUUUCGGAUAAUUUUGUGUUAAUUAUUUUAUUUAUUUUUUGGU